rnacentral:tRNA from 1 species
GCCGGAGUGGCGGAAUAGGCAGACGCCAGGGACUUAAAAUCCCUUGCUCCGAAAGGGGCGUACCGGUUCAAGUCCGGUCUCCGGCACCA